rnacentral:rRNA from 1 species
ACGGAAGGCAGCAGUGGGGAAUAUUGCACAAUGGGCGAAGCCUGAUGCAGCAACGCCGCGUGAGGGGAGACGGUUUUCGGAUUGUAAACCUCUGUCUUUGGUGAAGAAGAAGUGACGGUAGCCAAGGAGGAAGCCACGGCUAACUACGUGCCAGCAGCCGCGGUAAUACGUAGGUGGCAAGCGUUGUCCGGAAUUACUGGGUGUAAAGGGAGCGCAGGCGGGAGACCAAGUCAGUUGUGAAAUACAUGGGCUUAACCCAUGGACUGCAGUUGAAACUGGUUUUCUUGAGUGAAGUAGAGGUAGGCGGAAUUCCGAGUGUAGCAGUGAAAUGCGUAGAUAUUCGGAGGAACACCAGUGGCGAAGGCGGCCUACUGGGCUUUAACUGACGCUGAGGCUCGAAAGUGUGGGGAGCAAACAGGAUUAGAUACCCUGGUA